AACGAACGCUGGCGGCAGGCUUAACACAUGCAAGUCGAACGCAUCGCAAGAUGAGUGGCAGACGGGUGAGUAACGCGUGGGAACAUACCCUUUUCUACGGAAUAGCUCUGGGAAACUGGAAUUAAUACCGUAUACGCCCUACGGGGGAAAGAUUUAUCGGGGAAGGAUUGGCCCGCGUUGGAUUAGCUAGUUGGUGGGGUAAAGGCCUACCAAGGCGACGAUCCAUAGCUGGUCUGAGAGGAUGAUCAGCCACAUUGGGACUGAGACACGGCCCAAACUCCUACGGGAGGCAGCAGUGGGGAAUAUUGGACAAUGGGCGCAAGCCUGAUCCAGCCAUACCGCGUGAGUGAUGAAGGCCUUAGGGUUGUAAAGCUCUUUCGCCGACGAAGAUAAUGACGGUAUCCGGAGAAGAAGCCCCGGCUAACUUCGUGCCAGCAGCCGCAGUAACAC
rnacentral:rRNA from 1 species